rnacentral:tRNA from 1 species
GGGCAUAUAGCUCAAUCUGGUAGAGCGCAAGAUCGGUAAUCUUGAGAUUAUCGGUUCAAAUCCGAUUAUGCCCA